rnacentral:lncRNA from 1 species
AAAAACAUAAGAAUACACAGUUUGUUGUCGACAACUUUUUACACGUACUUGUGCAAUCCAUAUUAACAUACAAAAUUAUCUAGCUACAAAAUGAUAUGGUAUCGAGCAUCAACAUAAGUUUUCAAUACAUAAACAAAGGGAAAAAAUACAGAGGGAGAUUUUCGGUGUAUAAGUAAAUCUAACUUUCUUGAACAUCAACAUAAGUUUUCAAUACAAAAAUGAUCAACUCUGCUCAAUGCACAGACAUAAGAAAGAUCAAAUACAAAUAACACUCACUGGUAACUUUGUAUCUUGGACGUAGAAAAUAUUACAAACAAAAAUAAGGAAUGCUCUAAUAUUCUCAACAAAUUCUUUAACAAUUUUCAAGAUCCUCAAGUAAUUUCUUUGGUGCGUUUUUUUCUGUGUACUUUCGCAAAAAUCUCUGUAAUAAACCAGUGAUCCCUCUUCUUUGUAAGUUGUCAAAGAAAAUUUUCUGCAUAUCCAUAUACCUGUCCAAGGUAACAAAUUGCAACAUGAGGAGGUGUCGGCAAAUUAACACAAUUCGGGAAGUUGAUUAAAAUUCUGAUCCUUACUAUUAACAUACCUAACAAGGAUGAGAGAUGAUAGCAUAAAAUUCUGCAAGAAAUCAUAGUAUUGACAAUCACUAUACAUGCAAAAAUCAAGCUAAUAAGGGGUUGUAACGAUUUAAUCAAAGGAGUUAUUGGUGUCAGGGGGUGACACAUCUAAACACCUUGGUCCUGACACACCUAAUUAUGGAAAAUAGUUGCAGGUUGGCGCCAUACGGGAAGCCUAACGCCUUGCCUCUGCCCUGACAAGGCCUCGUUUCCCUCUACUACUACGAAACUCGAAUUCAAGCCUGCAGUCUCUAGUUUCUCAUGCACAGACACACAAACCUAGUGGAAAAAGGAAGGUCCCUUUAUACCAACUAAUAUUCCAGUUAGAAAUGCGAGCUCAUCCCUUUGUAUUCUAUGCCUCAAACUUUUUGCUGUUGUUUCUCAGUUUCCCGUCCCUGUUUCUUGUCAUCUUUUGUCACUAAUAAUGGUAUCUAAUUAUGUCAUUGCAACUGGUUUAUUGCUAAUAUACAGAGAAUUUAUCAUGUUGGGCCAUAUAUUUUGCGACAUUCUUAUUUCACGAGAGGCAUGAAGUUUAGAGUAUAAAGUUGUAGACUCGAUCGAACUAGAACAAAUCAAGCAGAGAAUGCUAUAUAGGAGGGUCCACUAUGCUGAAUGCUCUCUAACAAAUCUAUUUGCAAAAGGAAGUUGUGAACUUAUAGAAAAAGUUGUGAAUUACUAGCUUCAUCAAUAGAAAAGCAUAAGAAAAUGAUUAAGAACAAAAUAAAAGACAAAUCAAACAACACCCAUCCCAUUUAAAUUAUAUCACCAGUGAUUUUGUAAUUAGGAAUAAGGGUAUGAGUCAAAUACCUUUAAAAUGAUCUCUUUAGUAAGCUGUGAGCAUCCAUGAAUCCAAAUAAAAAAUACACAUUUGAUAAAAUCCAAUAGCAAUUUCGUCAAAUAGGUUGUAAACAAAAACCUUCUCUCAGACCAAUAAAGGUAACACAGAUUGAUUAGUGGGUGGAGAGAGAGAGGAAUUUGUAUUGAAAGGAGAAAUUACUGAUAAACAAACAACUACUACAACUCUCCAAGAUUAAUGGAUGAACAGCAAAAAGAAAUUAGUGAUGAACGACGAAGACAAAUCCACAAUGAAGGGUUUUGGCAAAGAAACACAGAGACCAUCAAUAGACAAAGGAGAGUCUUCGGUUUUCACAAAAUAUUUUGGAUCGGAUCGGCCUUUUGUUUGGAAUUA